AAAUUNUUUGGCCUUAUGGUAUAUUGAUCUUUCUACAUAAUUGAAAUAUGAAGUCAUCUUCCAUUUCUUUCCAAUUGAAAAAAUUUUAAUGUAAUUUUAAUGACAAUAGUUUUCUUCUUGGUUGCAUUUUUAAUAUUAAAGGAGAUAAAUGUCAGAGAAUCUUUAAGCUUUGCCCAUGGCUCCCAUGUCUUAUAAGGUUUCAACUACUAUUGGACAAGAAAUCGUAAAAAUAGCCUCAAACCUUCUAAUUGAUACCAGUAUUACAUAUUAAUUUUUGGCAUUUUAUACGAUAUGCUGAGUUUCUUUAUAUGUAGCUCCGCCAUGGAAAUUGAUUGAUUUGCCUAGGGUAGAGAGGAAAUCUCUAUGAUUCUUUAGUGAGUAGCUUCUAAACAUAUUCUCGUAUAUUUCAACUGCAGUUUCUGCAAUAAUCUAUAAUGAAUUUUUCUAAAUGAAUCUUUUGAAUAGUUUAGAUUUGAUACCUAAUUUUGGAAGUUUAAUAUCCCUGUUUCUUUUUAUGGAUUCAAUAUGCUGACACAGUGAUGCAAUAUUGCUGGUUGUAAUUCCUGCUUCUCGGUCCCCAAAAGUUACCACAUGUAAAGUUAUUAAAAUUUCUAAGGAACUUGAUGGAGAUCCUUGCUCAAGAGAUCCAAAAUUGUAUGAAACUUGGGCUUCUCAAUCUCCUCUCUGGGUGUAUUAUAUCCUCCAACUGCUUGUGUUUUGUUUUCUGUUUAGUUAAUCCAUCUACAACAGAUUGAUUCUAUUUGUUAGCUUGCAGAAGAACUGCUUCUAGUAUGCUUUACGUAGUCCUUGUCCCUUCAGAAUAUAAUGUGUAAAAAGAAUCAUCUCUCUCCAUUAUUGUGCAUGGGAAUUGAGGUCUGCUGCCUUGUACUGUACUAGAGAAAUAGGCAAAUAUCUCCAAUAGUUGCAAAUCAUUAUCGUCGUUAAUAUGUGACAUAAAUACUGCAUUCUUCUUUAGCAGAAUCAAAGUGAACAACAGAUGCUAUUGCAUUUCAGUCUCACAUUUUCUGAUUUAAUUGAAAGUUAUUUUUCUUUCAGUACUUGUCAAGUAUCAAUAAUUCAUGAGGUUGGAUGAUAUUAUUGGGAUAAAAAGCACUCCAAGUGACUUUUAUUUGAUAUUUUCUACAACGAUUGCAGGCUUCAGAGAACAUCCCAGAUAGUGCAGAAAGAAUUGGUUAGGCUUGAUGAACGAAUAGUGCUUAAGGCACAAAAGCUUUAUCAAUGGAGCUUUGCCAUGAAUUUGAGGAUAAGUUCCUCCAGAACGUUACAACUGAUGAGGUGAGACUUAGCUGUAAAAGUCAUCUUUCACAAAUUUUUGUAAUCAUAAAGGAUUUUUAAAGUAAUUAGGAUGAAGAAAAAUUUCAUUGCAGCAUCACUUGAUGAGUGAAAGAGUAUCUUCGGUACUGGAGCCUAUAUGGUCUUUUCUAGAUCAAAUUCUAGAUGCCUAUUUUCUCACUACUAGAUUAUAAAACAUUGGCUUCUAAAUGUUUGUACUUUUUUCUAUAUUUACAAAUCAGGUUGUUUUAUAUUGCAGAUUUUAUAUGUUCAUCAGUUUGGUGCCAACAGGUUUUUACCGAACGCGCU
rnacentral:lncRNA from 1 species